UACGUAGGGUGCGAGCGUUAAUCGGAAUUACUGGGCGUAAAGCGUGCGCAGGCGGUUUACUAAGACAGGUGUGAAAUCCCCGGGCUUAACCUGGGAAUGGCGCUUGUGACUGGUAGGCUAGAGUACGUCAGAGGGGGGUAGAAUUCCACGUGUAGCAGUGAAAUGCGUAGAGAUGUGGAGGAACACCGAUGGCGAAGGCAGCCCCCUGGGUCAAGAUUGACGCUCAUGCACGAAAGCGUGGGGAGCAAACAGG
rnacentral:rRNA from 1 species